rnacentral:pre_miRNA from 1 species
AGACACAUCACCCGGGAAUCUUAUUAAAAUGCAGAUUCUGACAUAGGAAGUCUGCAGUGGGGCCCGAGAUUCUGCAUUUCUAACCAGCUCCCAGAGGAUGCUGAU